GACGAACGCUGGCGGCGUGCCUAAUACAUGCAAGUCGAGCGCAGGAAACUGACGGAACUCUUCGGAGGGAAGGCAGUGGAAUGAGCGGCGGACGGGUGAGUAACACGUAAGGAACCUGCCUCAAGGAUUGGGAUAACUCCGAGAAAUCGGAGCUAAUACCGGAUAGUUCAUCGGACCGCAUGGUCCGUUGAUGAAAGGCGCUUCGGCGUCACCUUGAGAUGGCCUUGCGGUGCAUUAGCUAGUUGGUGGGGUAACGGCCGACCAAGGCGACGAUGCAUAGCCGACCUGAGAGGGUGAUCGGCCACACUGGGACUGAGACACGGCCCAGACUCCUGCGGGAGGCAGCAGUAGGGAAUCUUCCACAAUGGACGAAAGUCUGAUGGAGCAACGCCGCGUGAGUGAUGAAGGUUUUCGGAUCGUAAAACUCUGUUGUAAGGGAAGAACACGUACGAGAGGUAAUGCUCAUACCUUGACGGUACCUUACGAGAAAGCCACGGCUAACUACGUGCCAGCAGCCGCCGUAA
rnacentral:rRNA from 1 species